rnacentral:lncRNA from 10 species
UAUUUAUCCUAGAGAAAUUAAGAUUUGUGUUUAUACAAAAACCUUUACGAAAAUAUACAUAGCAACUUAACUUGUAAUGACCCCAAAUGAGAAAGAACCCAGAUAUCCUUCAAAUAAGUGAAUGGCUAAGUAACAUGUGGUAAUCCAUAUCAAACAAGGCCCUCAUAUGCUAGCCUUGACUCAAGGAAAACUGUAGGAUGGGGUAGGUUUCAUUUUUGGAAGUUGUGGAAUCAGUACUUAUGUUUUGAAUGUGUUAGGUUUGAGAUGCCCAGUAGGUUUUUCCCAAUAGAAGACAUAAGCAUAGCUGGGAAGAAUUUUGCAGAGGACUCUGACCACCUACCACCUACAGGUGCCAUGAAUAUUUAGCACAUUUGAUUUUUCACAUUACCUAUUCACCUUCUCUCCAUUUAUCAGUCACCUGGUAGUUUUUUUUAGUAUGGUGAAAUAUACACACAUAAAUUAUCUAGUAGAUAUUUGGGUUGAGAUAUCAAAUGUGCUUUUUAGAAAUUUAAAUCUGAAGUUCUGGAGGAUGUCGGGCUAGAGUUAACCUUUGGAAUCGGCAUCAUAUACUGUACAUAGUAUUUAAAAUAUAUGGGACUGGUGAAGACAUCUAGUUUAAUAGUGUACACAAAGAAGAGGAGGCGAAGCCAAAAAAGGGAGGGAGGUAGUGGUCAACCAUGUUGAAUGUUACCGUAUAAGAUGCCUUUGGUAAUUAGGAGGAUUUUAAUCAUUUUGACAAGAACAACUUUAAUGGGGAAGAGGGGCCUUAAGGUUGGGUAGAGUUUUUUUCAAGAUAGAAGAAAGCAGAAUGUUUAUAUGGCAAUGUGAUUAAACUCGUAGAAAGGAAAAACUGCUGCAGAUGAAAGAGGGGAACAUUGUAAAGGGUAGUUGUUGAAUACCUGAGAAAGGAGAAGACCCUAAGCAGGUGAGUAGUUGGUUUUGAAAUGAGCAGGGACACUUACUCUGUUGUAACUAGAGGGGAAGCUGAGAUAACAGGUGCAGAUACAGUGGGUGGUGGGAAAAGAGUCUAUUGGUAUAGGCAUCCAUCAGCUUAGAGGGAGGGCAGCGGGGGAGAGGAAAGGUGUGGGAACUUGGAGGAGAGAUAUGUGACAGAGUCCUAGAGAGGGUGAAAGUGAGCGUACUAGAGAAAUAGAGUUGGAUUCCCAGGCAGUGCUCAGGGCCCAUUUGAGACGUGUAGUCUUACAUUUAAAGUGAUAUAAACCAGUGUGGUUGUUUCAUGUUCAACUUUGGAAGGGUGUUGUGAGGAUUAAAGAAGGUAAUGCAUGAAAAACAUUUAAUAGAGUGUCAGGCGUUUAAUGAAUGUUAACGCUUUUUAUUUGAGCCCUCGUUUUGUUUUUCUUUUCUGUUUAUACAUAUGUGACUGAGGAUGGCUGGCAAUUACCACUUGACAGGCUGUUCUGGGGCAUGUUCUCCCAUCACAGAGAACUGCAGUUUGCAGCUACUCAGAAGUCUGGUUCCUGUUGUGUUUACAUGUACACAGCUUGAUAAUUGAAGAUGUUUGCUUUUUAGAGCCAUUGUCCUGGACUGUUUGGGCUGGGGUUUGUCACAGUGACAGUCCUUAAGUUUUUGUGAAAAUCUUUUAUGACUGCAUUUCAUAUUGGAUCUGAUGUACUGGUAAUCUACAGAAUCUACAAAUCUAAGAUUGGCAGGAAAAUUUUCAGUUUAAUAGAUUUUCAUUUCUCCCUGACCACUUGAGCUGUUUUAAAAUACAAAUAAUAAUAAUGGCUGACAGAAAGCUCUUAAAAGUGCCAAGUACUUUUCUAAGCACAUCACAUGCCUAAUCUUGUUUAAUCAUCACCUCAGCUCUACAAGGCAGGUACAAUUAUUAUCCUGAUUUUUCAGAUGCAAAAAUAGGCUCCAAGAGGUUAAGUAAUUUGCCCAAGGUACCCAUACCCUGACCUCCAGUUUCUACUGCAGACAAUAACUUUUUCUUUUUUUUUAA